GUUCCGUAAGUUGGGCGUGAAAGCUCCGGGCUUAACUCGGAGAUGUCGUUCAAUACUGCGGGGCUUGAGGACAGCAGAGGAAGGUGGAAUUCCCGGUGUAGUGGUGAAAUGCGUAGAUAUCGGGAGGAACACCCGUGGCGAAGGCGGCCUUCUGGGCUGUUCCUGACGCUGAAGGCGAAAGCUAGGGGAGCGAACGGGAUUAGAUACCCCGGUAGUCCUAGCUGUAAACGAUGGAUGCUGGGUGUGGGGGGUGUAAAUUCCCUCUGUGCCGAAGCAAACGCGUUAAGCAUCCCGCCUGGGGACUACGGCCGCAAGGCUAAAACUCAAACGAAUUGACGGGGGCCCGCACAAGCAGCGGAGCGUGUGGUUUAAUUCGAUGCUACACGAAGAACCUUACCUGGGUUUGACAUGCACGUGGUAGGGAACCGAAAGGGGACCGACCUUCGGGAGCGUGCACAGGUGCUGCAUGGCUGUCGUCAGCUCGUGCCGUGAGGUGUCGGGUUAAGUCCCGUAACGAGCGCAACCCUUGCCCUUAGUUACAAGUGUCUAAGGGGACUGCCCGGGACAACUGGGAGGAAGGUGAGGAUGACGUCAAGUCAGCAUGGCCUUUAUAUCCAGGGCUACACACACGCUACAAUGGCCGGUACAAUAGGUUGCGAAGUCGUGAGGCGGAGCCAAUCCUCAAAGCCGGUCUCAGUUCGAAUUGCAGUCUGCAACUCGACUGCAUGAAGCUGGAGUUGCUAGUAAUCGCAGGUCAGCUAUACUGCGGUGAUACGUUCCCGGGCCUUGUACACACCGCCCGUCACGUCAUGGAAGCUGGCAACGCCUGAAGCCGGUGAGCUAACCCGAAAGGGAG
rnacentral:rRNA from 1 species